rnacentral:lncRNA from 1 species
CCACUGUGACGUAACACGUCAGAAAACGUCAUAGACACCGCCCACUCGGCGAACUGUCUCCGAGCGGAGCCGGGCUGGAUUGGAUUGGACCCCUGGGCGGGAAAGGACGGACGGGUUAAGUAGCCAAUCACCAAUUGCGCUCCAGCCAGAGGGGCGAUGUUCUUGGGGAGCCUGGGGAUCUGGAAGAAGUUCAGUGUGAGGACGAGUGUUAGGAAAUAAGGCUGAAGACAGAGGCAACCCUGGAGGAUCUUCUAACCCAUGUCAAGCAGUUGAGAAUUUAUGGAGUGAAAUAGCAAGCCAUUGAAGAGUUUCAAGCUUUCAUCCAGCUUUUAAGGGAAACUAAUAUCUCAUGAAAUUGUGAGGGCCUGGAAUCUUCAAAGAGCCAAGGAUUCUGCCAGACUGAGCAAUAGACUUGAUGAGCAUUCUCCACUUAAGAUCUGAACUAUGAGAAGUCGAAUCAAAGCAGUUCUUUUGUAAUUCCAAACAGCCAUUUAGACAUAUGAAGAAAUGAAAGUAAAGCAGUUCUAAAGACAAGGAAGAGGGUCAAUGAAAGGUGCUCCCAAUGCAAUCACAAAGAUCUUUAAAAGUGGAAGAAGGUGGGAGAGGUCAGAGUGAUACGAAGAGAACUCAGUCUACCACUGCUGGCUUUGAAGAUGGAAGAAUGGGGCUAUGAGCCCUGGAUUGCGGGCAGCCUGCAGAAGCUGGGGCAGAGAUUCCACACAGGCACCUCUAGAAAAUAAUGCAGCCAGCCAAUCCUUAGACUUUAUCCCAGUGAGAGUCAAGUUGGACUUCUGACCUACAAAAGAGUAAAUAUCUAAAUUAUCUGUGGCAACAACUUGGUGGGGUCAACUCGAAUGUUUUUGUCGGCUGUUCUUGAAGACUUCUGGGUCUCUACAACCACAUUCUUUGGCUGGUGCCAGUGUUUAAGCACUCUGAAACUGCAUAGCAGCAUGUUUGAAGGUGGCCUGUCAAAUUUGGGAAACUGACGGUGUGACUGAGCUAGUCACAGGGGUCUUCACAGAAAAGGCAGUCGGGGUCCUGGUCAACUGGAGAUUCCAUCUGAAUGAGUGAAGUCAUUAAGACUAGAGCUCCAGGCUUCUUCAUCCAACUCCAAGGGUUCCCAGCAACAUGUGAAGUCCUCUAUCUGUCACUAAGAAGCCGUGAGCUAGCAGACAGGAAAACAAAUUUGUCUUAAAUACCCCAAGUUUAUAGGCUUCUCACCCCUCGGCAGCUGCAACUGGCAAAUCUAGUUUACAGAAAUGGGAGAUGAGGGAGAUGUGCACGUUUUUCACUGUCGGAACUUGAGAGGCAGUGAUGGAAUACUUACGAAGUAGCAGCUCUCGGCAGAUGAGAAGAAUACACCUUGGCAGCUGCUGGAUCAAGGCAAAUGAGAGACCCAUGGAGCUCACUAAAUCCAACUCUACAGCUUGGAGCUAAGCCUAACUUAGCCAAGUCUAAACCAGUUUGACCUCAGCCAAUUCACAGAUGUUUGAGCCAGAAGUAAGGUGCUUGUUGCUGGAAGCCAGUUAAAUUUUGAGAUCUUUUUGAAAAAUAUAUUGUCAUUGCAGACAUAGAUGCACAUAGUUUUCCACACUGUGGGAAGUCAAAUUAAGCAUGCUUAGACUUUUAAAGCAGAAGCCCAUUAUUAGUGGGGUGGCAAAAAUGUUACAAGUGACAUAGUCCUCCAAUUUCCUUCUUCUAGCCCUCUGCCUAAGAACUAGUGUACUUCAUUUUGAAGUGGAGCCCUAACGGGAGUGUUCAUCUUCUGUCAACAGGGUUAAGCCUCUUGACGCUUACUGGGCACUCACAGUUGUUAGUUCCCUGGAAGACAUGAAAGAGCUUGAUUGGUUCUGUAGUCGUCAGUCAAUAACCAACUGUAACAUACCUACACUUCCAACAAAAUCUUGAUUUGGGAAAUUGAGUGUCUGCUUAUAGUUAAUCCUCUAUUUUUUGACACCUAGUAGGAAAAACAUUUUCAAAAGAGCCAUGACCUGACUCAGUUAAUAUGCAAGGAAAAAUAAGCAGUUCCAAACUUGUCAGUUUAUCCAUCAUCCCUUAUCCAAAAUCCUUCAACUCUCUUGGAAUUAUUUUGUUCUUCAUACUUGCCCAACAAAUAUCUUACUCUUGUCUUGGACUUUAUUUUAUAGUUAUCUCACAUAAGCUCCUUGUGGCUAAGGGCACAUAUUUGGAAUCAGACUACCCUAGUUCAACUCUUGGGUCUACCAUUUAUUAGCUUGUAUUACUUUGGGAAAGAUAAUUAAAUUCUCCAGAUCUAAUUUCCCCCAUUAUAAGAUAAUAAUAGUUAUUACCUGCUAGGAUUGUCUUGAGAAGUAAAUUAGAUAAUUCAUAAGAACCAUUUAACACAGUGCCAGCCACAUAAUGAAGGCAUAGUAAGGGAAAGUUAUUAUGCUGUUGAUAAUACUUGUCUAGGCAGGGGUCUCAUAUUUUUCCCUGUAUCCAUUACUGUACAAUUCAUCUGUCCCAUGACAUUCUAAGAUUGUUUUAGAGUGAGUUGCUUCAGAGUUGAAUAAUUCUAAUAAUAUAUUCUCAUGUUUGGAAACAACUUGGAAUUCCAUUUAGUGUAGACAUCAACAAUGAAAUCGCUAGAGGAUGAGUAAUUUCUACAAUUUUUAUUCAUUAUAGAGAGACCAAUGGGUAUAAUGGUGAAAAGAACUGAGUAGAAGGUCAGGAGGUCAAAGAGACUGAGUUUAAACCCUCACUCUGCUGAGUACUGUUAAUAAUGGUAUGAUCUUAAGAGAACUAAUCUUUAGUUUUUCCCACCUUAAAAACAGAGUUGUCAUGAGUAUUUAAUAAUAGAGGGUAGUAUGUAAACUUCCUGGCAUAUAGCAACUGCUCAACAAAUAGAAGUUAUAGUUUUUUCUUAACUUGCCAAAGAGCCAAGGGAAAAAUGAAGAUUUUGUAGCCAAAGCCAUUUAUCUUUCUCUGUUAUGUGCCUAUCUGUUCCAGAAACAGAAUCAAUUCCUUGAACCUCAUCAAAGGAAGGAUUUGAACAUUUAAAAAAAAAUCAAUCUCUUUGGGUUUGUUAUUGCUUGUUUCCCAUACCUCAGAGACACAAAUACAAACCUUUAUAAUGUCAUCAGGAAGAAGAGGAGUCAAACACUCCUUAACUCAAUAAUUGCAAUGUUAUUAUUUUGCAAGGAAUAGAGUCAAAAUUCCAUUCACAUGAGGACUGUAACUUCUUCAUUACUCCUUGAGGCACGAUGUCCUUGAUUUUAAGUAGCUCAUGUAGAAACUAGUUGUAAGUCUUUAGCGGAGAGACUGUACUGGAAUUAUAGGAUCUACUUAGGGGUUUGAGCUUCCCCACCCACUUAGAGUGACAGUUCACACCUAUAAAAACACAAAAGUCCGGGGGUUUAUUAAACAUUAGGAGAUCCAAAGAGCCAAGACUUCUACCUGUAAAAGUGGUGCUUCCUAAGCAGAAGAAAUGGAAUUUCUCAGAGAAUACAGCUUGGCUUGACCAAUGGACUGUACAAGGAAGAUUAGGAGGUAAUUACUGGGGUAAAAGAGAAAUGGUUGCAUCUUUCUGGAACACUCUAAUAAAACUGAAAGUUUUUCCUGAUUUCUUCUUUUAUUUGAUACAAGGGUCAAAUUUGAUACAUAAAGUCAUAAUGUCCCACAUGUACUUCUCAGGAACAUCUGUUUAGUCCUACUACAAAACUUGGGGAACAUGGUUUCCUAAUGUGGUACCAGUCGUCUCUUCAUGGAUGACUUCAGGAAGAAAUUCUGACUGGCAGACUCCACAAGUAUAAGACAAUAAGAGGCCAAUUUCUUUAUUCUUCUCCUCUUCUCCGCUUGUCCCCCCACCUCAUUAGCUUUGGGAGAAUAACACAGUGUGGAACAGAAAAAUAAGGAGCCUUGUUGUACUUCAUUGGCCUCAAGAGGUCUCAUCUAUUAAAUAGAUCCAUUAUGUUACUCUCAGAGAAAAUUAUAGUCAAAAAUAUUUCAAGUUUUAGGGCAGUACUGAAUAUAUAAGGGCUCUGUUACUUAAUCUCUGUGCUCUUAUCUUGGGGCGGCAAAGCUCAGUAGGGCUAUCUUGAAAGUAGCCUGAAAUCAAUUGGUCAGAUGAAAUCAAUUGGUCAGGAGGAGCCCAUCAGGAGGAUCAAGGACAUGGGUGACACAGUGAGUGUAAUUAUUAGUCAGGAUAGGUUAGGUUAGGCAUUAGUGGCAAAUUAUCUCCAAAUCUCAGUGGCUUGGUACAAUAAAGGCUUAUUGCUUAUUCAUGCAGCAUGUCUACUGCAGGUCCACAAGGGCUCUGUUCCACUCACAGAUCCAGAUUGUAACAUUCUUUGCCAUCUCAUAGCUACAUGAUCUAAACAUCAGCAGAAGGAAAGUGUCUUGGGUCAGGCUACCUGGAAAACAGAUCAAGAUAAAGAUUUCUGUGCAAAAAGGUUAUUGGGGAGGGAACUCUAAUUGAUAUCUGCCAGGGAUAGUGCAAGAAUGGUUGAGCAGACAAUUGUUGAACUACUUACUAUGUAUGUAGUAACAACAAAGGUCUUGACCAACCCAAAAGGGAGUCCUGGAGCUCAAAUGGUUCUUCACAGUUCUCUCACCUUAAGGCAAGGGACCUGGGCCUUUAUUAUCCCUUAUCAACCAGUCAUUUGAUUAGCUUGACCCCAGAGAGAGGUUAUGACCUUGAGUAAAGUGGCUCUCCUCUACUGAGGAUAAUUCCAGGAGAGCAACUCAGCUGAGAGCUGUCAGCAAUGGGAGGAAUCAGAGUCUCAGUCCUGAAGAGCAGAUCUGGGCAGCAUAUCAUAGCAUCCACCACAAGGGGGAAAGUGCGUGCACUUUUCAUUGCCUCCACCUGGGAGUGACAUAUGCCAUUUUUUGCUGUCAUUUCAAUGACCAAAAGGAGUCACAUGAUUCUAAUUGGAAGGAACCUGGG